rnacentral:lncRNA from 1 species
AAUUGGUGUUGGCCAAACAAAAUCCUAGAAGGCCUUGUUCCGUGUUCUCUCUCAGGGAUGAAGCACAGGCCUGGGGAGAUAGCCAAUGGACUGAAACUCAUGUGUUUUCCAAAGAGAUUCAUCUUCCCCAAAUGUCAGGACUGAAUUACGAACAUUUCCUGAG